GUCAUAACCAACAAUGAAAUAUAGGAAGAGGAAGGAAAAACUUGUAGAAGAAUACACCGCCUUGCUCAUAUUGUGUCUCUGCCGCCUUUCAUGUAUAUAUACAAAGUAGGGUUAGGCCCAAACAAUUAUACCUUCAUAUACGCGAAAAGGACAAUUUUUUUCAGGUUUGGACACUGGGUCCGGGCGUGGCACGGACGCGGUAUUUGGCAAGUGUAUUGCCUCUG
rnacentral:lncRNA from 1 species